UUAUUGUCAUCAAUGUAGAAACACAGACAACACCCGUAUUUGUACUUCUCCUGGCUGUGGUUAUACUGCCAACCCAGAUUAUGAAGGCCUAUGUUCUGUUUGUUUCAUCAAAUUACAUGCAUUAUUUCAAGAGGGGUCAGUUAUGGUAGCCCUAUGAUGCAAGAAUCAACAUCGAAUGCGGAAGCAGUCAAGACAAGAUGUCUCAUUGAAGACUGUCAAUUCUUCGGCAUCCCAGAGAAUGAUAACUUGUGUUCACAAUGUUAUGCAAAGGCAUUGCAACUUGAUUAUGACUUAGAGUCUGAGAAGAAGAUCAAAAUUGAAGAAGAAAGAGCUAGAAAGAAAUGGCAAAUAGCACAACAGCAAAAGAAUGCAAAUCAUGACUUGCACAGGCUUUAUUAUGUAAAUGAACCCCACUAUUAUCAGGUUGUGGAUGUUUUGGUACAGAAGAAGAUCAGGGUCUUUGUCAUAAAUGUUUAAAGAAGAAAGAAAUGCUUUUCUUAGAAUAGACAGUUGGUGUGAACAGUUUUCAACAAAUUUUGUUUCAAUGAACAAGAAAUAUUGUCAUUCUAUAAGGCUUAAAUCCUCAUAUCUAAAGAACUGUAUUGAUAUUAGUAAUAAAGUAAUAUAUUCGCUUCCUUAUAUAUGUAGAUAUGCACUUCGUACGUGUGGCUAUAGCCUCAUAAUAACGACGUCUUUUCUCGUUUAUAAAAUUUCUGCACUUAACUGAUAAUUUAUUCUUCGAAUAUAACGUUAAAAGCGAUACAAAUACUCAAUUUAUGAUAAUGCUCCAUAAUCAAGGGUGCUGGAUCAUUUUCGUGAAUUAAACAAUGAUAGACAA